UCGCCACGUGAUAUUUCCUCAAAACUAUCAGACCAAUCAAAACAGCUCACAGCUCUAAAACGUCCACUCAGGUCACACAUGGGGCCUCUUUUACUACUGAACAGAUAAGAGAUCAGAACAUUAGAUCUCACCGUCUCUCUGUCUGAACAGCAGCAAUGAUCGGAUUACUUUUCACUCUCUGUCUCUUUGGAACUGUGAAAUCGUCUGACAUCGUUGAUCUUCAAGUACAAACAGUGAGGCGGGGAGACAACACAACAAUAAAAUGUCAUCAAAAUGAAACCAAGCAUGAUUUAUUAACUUGGUAUCAACAGAGUUUAGGAAAGCUGCCUCUGUACAUCGUGAGACGAUUUGAGACUGAAGAACAAAAAGUAAAACACAGAUUUAGUAAGAAAUUUAUAAACAGCCGCUUCACUGUGGAUAAUAAGACAUUUGAUCUCAGCAUUAAUGGAGUCAAAGAAGAAGAUGUAGGAAUAUAUUUCUGUGGAAAAGGAGAGAAAAAUAGUUCAGAGUUUCUAUCUGGAACCCUUUUGCUGUUUGCAGAUGAGAAGACUCCACCUGACCCUGCUAUCAAGAAUUGUUCAGUACAAGCAGUUACUCUGAGCUGUUCAGGAGAUCGCAGUGUGUACUGGAUCAGACACGGAUCAGGAGAAUCUCAUCAUGAUCAUGAACCUAAAUCUACUG